GAUGAAAGAACGUAGUGAAAUGCGAUAAGUAGUGUGAAUUGCAGAAUUCAGUGAAUCAUCGAAUCUUUGAACGCACAUUGCGCCCCAUGGUAUUCCGUGGGGCAUGCCUGUUCGAGCGUCAUUUACCCCCUCAAGCUCCGCUUGGUGUUGGGCGUCUGUCCCGCUUCGCGCGCGGACUCGCCCCAAAGGUAUUGGCAGCGGUCGUGCCAGCUUCUCGCGCAGCACAUUGCGCUUCUCGAGGCACCGGUGGGCCCGCGUCCAUCAAGCUCACCCCCCCAGUUUGACCUCGGAUCAGGUAGGGAUACCCGCUGAACUUAAGCAUAUCAAUAAGCGGAGGA
rnacentral:misc_RNA from 1 species